rnacentral:rRNA from 1 species
UCCUACGGGAGGCAGCAGUGGGGAAUUUUGGACAAUGGGCGAAGGCCUGAUCCAGCAAUGCCGCGUGCAGGAUGAAGGCCUUCGGGUUGUAAACUGCUUUUGUACGGAACGAAAAAGCUUCUCCUAAUACGAGAGGCCCAUGACGGUACCGUAAGAAUAAGCACCGGCUAACUACGUGCCAGCACCCGCGGUAAUA